UACGAAGGGUGCAAGCGUUACUCGGAAUUACUGGGCGUAAAGCGUGCGUAGGUGGUUCGUUAAGUCUGAUGUGAAAGCCCUGGGCUCAACCUGGGAAUGGCAUUGGAAACUGGCGACCUAGAGUGCGGUAGAGGGUAGUGGAAUUCCCGGUGUAGCAGUGAAAUGCGUAGAGAUCGGGAGGAACAUCUGUGGCGAAGGCGGUUCUCUGGGCCUUACCUGACGCUGAGGAGCGAAAGCAUGGGGAGCGAACAGG
rnacentral:rRNA from 1 species